CCCUUAGACGUUCUGGGCCGCACGCGCGCUACACUGACCAGUGCAACAAGCAUCCGUCCUUGGCCGACAGGCCCGGGCAAUCUUUGAACGCUGGUCGUGAUGGGGAUAGACUUUUGCAAUUUUUGGUCUUCAACGAGGAAUGCCUAGUAAACGCAAGUCAUCAGCUUGCAUUGAUUACGUCCCUGCCCUUUGUACACACCGCCCGUCGCUCCUACCGAUUGAACGUUCCGAUGAAUACCAUGGAUUGAGAGUCUGAAUGGGUUCGCCUAUUUCUGCUUCUCGAGAAGUGGAGUAAAUCUUAGCGUUUAGAGGAAGGAGAAGUCGUAACA
rnacentral:rRNA from 1 species